GUGAAUCCAGCGCUGCUGAGGAAAAGAGCGGAAGCAGCAGCGCCGACGACCGUGCAUGCCCGCAUGGCGGCGUCAGCUUCUUGGCGCAGGGGCGCGCCCGCGUAGGCAAGCCCCCCCCGCCGGUGACUGCUACUUGCUGGUGAUUUCUUCUAUCCGUAAACCAUAUCGAAUAAAUUUCGUUGAUUGCAAUUCAGGGAUUUUGAUCUAGGGUUUCAUGUUUGUGGGGCAAUUUUGGGGAUUUUUUUCAAAAUUAGGGUUUCACAGCUGAGAAUUUUGUUUGACGAAUUUUACACAAAAUAAAUUUGAGUCCUACUGAUGCUAGUACUGAUUGAAAUAAAAAAAGACACAAAUAAAAUAGGAAUUGAAACUUUAAAUAGUGCAUGAAUAGUGCUAAACAUUAAACAUGAACCCUAAAAUAAAACUCUUCGGAAUUAUAACUGUUUGCACAAAAUUAAAUCAAUCUGAAUCUUAUGUGGCUUCUCUUAGGGAUGAUGGGACCAAGUAAGGCCAAGUUUGCUCUAAUACCACAAUGUUGGGUCAUCUGAUCCAACGUCAAUUUCUAAUCUUAGCCUCAUAUUGAUCACCUCCGCUAAUGCGGAAUUAAUUUGAUCUACUGACUUGGUUGAGAAGUCAUUGCAAUUGAAUCGAUCCUCCUGCUCUAUUUUCUUCUCUCCUUUUCUCCGAUCUUUCUGGCAACUUGAUGUGGGCAUUGGCGACCUUCGUCUCCGACGAGCUAAUCACUUCUAAACCUGCAGCCUUCUUUUGAGAUCAUGUCAAAAACCCUUCUAGUGUCCCUCUAUUUAUAUGGCACUGAUGGGGCUCGGGGUAAUCUCAAAUUUUGUAGGGAGUUUUGAUUCUACCGAUCACCGAAACAAACUCCUAUUCUAUCUCUUCUUUUCUUGUUAGAUUAGAAUAUGAAUUUCUUGUUUGACUAGGACACGGGAAAACCAGUUAUAGUGGAUUCCAAUUUUUUUAAACCGGCCUUUAUCUUUAAGUUUCUUUUAUCCGAUGUCUAACCAAAUAAAUCAACCAACACAACGAUGAGACAAGUGUGUGGUAUGUUGAUGCAGGACACUCGCCAUGGCUAACAGAGAACUCGGAGGAGUCGAUGGCUGGGCGGCGGCCUGAUCUACGAUGGCAGCCGGCAGGUGGCCUAAGGCCUGUGGCCACUGGCCGCUGGCUAGGUAGGAGGAUGCCCGAGGUUGUAGGGUGUGGCCGCAUGGGAGGUGGCUGGCUUCUGGAGUACGGCGGACGGGAGGAGUCCUGAGGGUGGUGGCUGACGAGACGAUGCCUGAGGGCGGGGAUGGAUGGGAGGAGAUCGAAGGGCGGCGGCAGAUGGGAUGAGUUCUGAGGAUGGUAGUGGUUGGGAGAAGGCCCAGUGGUAGGCGGGUAAUGUUUUUGGAAGAGUAAAGGAUAUUUUCAUGUUUGUUUGGUUGGAUUCCCACCGGAAGCUACCUUUUCCAUGAUUCUCCAUUCAUAUGUAAAAGGAUAUAACUCUGUCAACGAUCUAGAUUGGCAAUAAAACUACAGUAUGGC
rnacentral:lncRNA from 1 species